rnacentral:tRNA from 6 species
GCGAUUGUGGCGAAGUGGUUAACGCACCGGAUUGUGGUUCCGGCACUCGUGGGUUCGAUUCCCAUCAGUCGCCCCA